CCUACGGGUGGCAGCAGUGAGGAAUAUUGGUCAAUGGGCGCAAGCCUGAUCCAGCCAAGUAGCGUGAAGGAUGACUGCCCUACGGGUUUUAAACUUCUUUUAUCAAGGAAUAAAGUGAGGCACGUGUGCCUUUUUCUAUUUACUUUAUGAAUAAGGAACGGCUAACUCCGUGCCAGCAGCCGCGGUAAUACGGAGGAUCCGAGCGUUAUCCGGAUUUAUUUGGUUUAAAGGGAGCGUAGAUGGGUGGUUAAGGCAGUUGUGAAAGUUUGCGGCUCAACCGUAAAAUUGCAAUUGAUACUGGCAGUCUAGAGUACAGUUGAGGGAGGCGGAAUUCGAGGUGUAGCGGUGAAAUGCUUAGAUAUGACGAAGAACACCGAUUGCGAAGGCAGCUUCCUAAACAAACACUGACAUUGAUGCUCGAAAGUGUGGGUAUCAAACAGGAUUAGAUACCCGGGUAGUC
rnacentral:rRNA from 1 species